rnacentral:rRNA from 1 species
UUUUUAUGAGAGUUUGAUCCUGGCUCAGGAUGAACGCUGGCGGCGUGCUUAACACAUGCAAGUCGAACGAAGCAUUUACGACAGAUUUCUUCGGAUUGAAGUUGUUUA